AUGUUUGCCAAGUCGAAAAGUAGUGGCUCGACACCGAGCGUUCUACUUCCUAAUCCCCUUCAGAAUUUGUACGACGUUGGCAAACAAACGGCUACAGCAGGACCCGAAAACGCUUGGCGUAUAUACAACGGAUACACGAAAGCGGAUCGAAAGGAAGUCUCGAUAUUUUUCUUUGACAAAAGAUCGGUCGAUAAACUUCACAAACCGAAGCGGAAAGAAGCGGUUACGGAAAUUUUACGAAACGGAGCACGACAAAUGGAACGAGUUUCUCAUCCAAAGAUUCUGCAGGCAUACAAGGUCGAAGAGUGCGCUGAUAGUUUAGCAUUCGCGUCCGAGCCAGUUCUCGCUAGUCUUGCGAAUGUUUUAGCCUAUCAAGAGCAACGGGCGAAUAACGUUGGCCAAUCGUCAACUAACGUAACGAAACAAACUUCUUCAACCCCUAGUCAUCGUGCCCCAUUUACGAAAGAGUACGAGUUACUUGAUAUAGAGAUCAAAUAUGGAUUGUUGCAGAUCACAGAGGCUUUACUUUAUCUUCACGGAACACGCAAAGUCCUUCACAGGAACGUUUGUCCCGCGAGCAUAAUAAUUACGAAAAGGGGCACUUGGAAAUUGUCAGGUCUCGAAUUUAUCGAAAAAAUGAAGGAAUUGCCAAUGAUAUCGUUGCAACCUUGGACCAAUCGCAUGUCGAAAAUGACGCAGCCGAAUCUCGAUUACAUAGCACCGGAAAUACAGCAAAAGAAAGAGGGGGGCUUCUACAGCGACAUGUAUAGCUUUGGUAUGACAAUAUGCGCAAUUUUCAAUCAAGGACGGCCAUUGAUUCAAGCGAAUCAUAACUGUUCCGACUAUUUGAAACAAGUAGAAAACCUCGAAGAACAAGUCCAUGUGAUAUUACCUUUAGUUCCUCUUCCUCUUCGAGAAGCUGUUUCCCGACUUUUACACAUCGAUCCAGAGAAGAGGCCAACCAUUCAAGUUUUAUCCAUGAUCAAAUAUUUUCAAGAUCCACCCGUAUACGCGCUUCAAUUUCUCGACGUCAGUAAGAUGAAAGAUGCGUUGCAAAAGGAGCAUUUUUAUACAACUACUUUAAAAGGAAUAUUACCUUAUAUACCAAGGAAACUUUGGUAUCAACAUAUUUGGACGUAUCUGCAAACUGAAUUGGAAAGUGAAGAAGUUCAAUCGGCUGUAUUACAACCAGUACUUUAUAUCGUACAAAAUAGUACACAAGAGGAAUACGAUCAAAUUGUAUUUCCAUCGUUACGAUCGCUUUUCUCGAAUCGUAAAUCGAUUCACGGAACGGUUACGUUGCUGGAAAAUUUGCAUUUGAUAUUAAAAAAAACAUCUCGAGAAUAUAUAGAAAGCGAAGUGCUUCCGAUGUUAUAUACAUCCUUUGAGAAUUCAACCACUCAAGUGCAGACUGCAGCGUUCGUAGCCGUGUCUAAUGUGACCGAUUACAUACACGAUGAGGCUGUUCGAAACAUCGUGUUGCCGAAAUUACUUCAAGCAUUUGAAAAAAAUCUAGUGGAUUCCCGAAUACUUAUGAACGUGAUACCCUGUAUUUUAAAUCGUUUGGAAAAGCAGAAAAUCAUCGAUUGUAUUUUACCAUUAUUGUUCAAUGUAAAACUUCAAGAACCGGAGAUAAUCGUUCGGGUUGUAAAAAUUUACAGAUUGAUGUUAAAUGACAAAAAAUAUGGAUUAUCUGUGAAUUGGAUGGCGACUAGAGCAAUGCCUUCUUUACUACCUCAAACUAUUAACCCAGCAUUGAAUCUCGAGCAGUUUGAGCUACUUCUCAAAGUGUUACAAGAUAUGCUGAAUCACAUCGAAAGGAAUCAAAGAAAUCAAUUAACGCUGGAUAAUUUGUCAUUGUCGAGCCCGGAACGGUAUCGAAGUUUGCGACAUCAACACAGUACGGACAAUAUGUAUGUUGCCCCCUUUAAUAUACCAAAUCUACGUAUCGAGCAACGUAAAACUUCUUCGGCUGAAGACAUGGCUCGGAAAAAUAGCACGAAUUCGAUGUCGACGACAGUUUCAGCUGAAAACAUGGCAAGAAAGAACUCGAUGAUAACCAUGUUCAGAUGGUUCUCAUCAUCGAACAACGAUAACAGUAAUUUCUUAAAAGUGACGAAUACUUUUACGAGCAGACGGUUAUCGGAUAAUACUCUGAUGACACCGAAAAUACGGGUAGCACCGUCGUGCGAAAGUUCCCCGGGUGCUACACCAGGUGAUGGAUUACCUAUUCGACGACAUUCGAGCACUGGUCCUCAAGACCGACGCGGGUCUAACAUAAAUUUAUCGCCCCCCUUGGGUGGAAUGCCGAUUACCAGUAGCAGUGUUCCGUACCUGGUUAGCUCGAGCAUGAAUAGUAUACGAGGCUCGAGACGUCCUUCGGUCUCUUCAACGUCUUCCCAGCAAGGACUGCUGCAGCAGGUUGGCUCCAGCAUGUAUCAAUUCUUCAACAAACAAUUCGAUGGUUAAAUCUUUCGUCGACGAUCAAGUUUCGUAGGAUAUUUACGUUAACAUUAACAACGUAAGGAACAAUUGGUUACCGUCCGUGCGACAAAAGGAGACAUAGAGGAACGAAAAAAAAUAAUUUUAUAGCCAUCUCCUGUUAACGAUAAAAUGGCAACAGAGACUGAUUGUUUUUCUGGAGUAUCAUAUGACACUAGAAAAUAAAGUGUCCUUAAGGUGUUCGGGAUAAGAAUUAUUUCACGUUUGUGCUUGAUCACAAUUCUGAUCGUACAGAAAUCGUUAAAUAAUGCGUGGACAAUCGUGGACAAUCUUAUAGGCAAUCUUGGACAAUCGUCGACAAUCAGAAACGAACAGGAAAAAGUCGAUACAAACGAAUGACGUGUUCGUGUUCUUACGAAUUAUCUUUUGAUAAUUAUUCAACAAAAUUGUAAUUUAUCAAAAGUAUUUGAACGUACAUAAUAUACAUUGUAAACUCGAUACAUUGAAUCAUUGUCGAGAAAGCGAAUCUUGAGAUCUUGUGUAUCCAAGUAUACGUAUAUGUAUUAUCAUAGAAACAGAAAAUGACAAUCAUUCGAACAAAACUAUGGAAUUAUUAGGAACUAUGGAUUAUUAGGAAUUUUGGGCUCUAGCAUUUUUUUUUGAUCAAUCUUGUCGAUCGAUAAUGCAAAGUUUUGCCCGAAAUACAUGUGAUCUGGUAAAAAAAUUUCAUACACAUUUAUUAUUCUAUUUUUUGAAUAUUUUUCUCUAUAUAUAAUUUUCUCUUUAAAUCUCAUCGUUUUUGUCUUAUUUUUUUUUUUUUUUUUUUACCUAUCGUUUAUAUUUUCUUUUCUUUUAUCUAUGGGUGUUUCUGCUUUUACGAUCGUUUUUAAUUUUACAUUUUAGAACAAUUUUUCCUUUCGAUAUAAUAAGGAAGUACAAACAUUUUAUCGAUCGUAGCAGGAAUAUUUUACGUCUAAUAUUAAUAUUUUUCACAGUAUUAGAGAUCCAGUAUUAUAUUCACAUACGAACAAAUAACAAACCAACAAGAAAUAUAUAGUCAUAAUGUGUGGACACAAUUGUGAAAAAUCUGCCUUUGCUCCUGUUUAUCUUUAUGCAACGUGUAUCGGGCUUCAAAUUAUGUAUUUAAAUGAUGUUCUCAUUGAAGCAAUAUCAUUUAUGAUAUUGUCUCGUAUUGUCAUUUUCAUCGUUAUCAUUCUAUUCCAUAAUUAUGUAUGUGCAAGAAAGAAUACGUCAACGAGUAAUGUGCUCAAUAGACUUCCUAUCGAAAAUAGAUGUUAAACUCGUCCGAAUGCAAUUAUUCAUUCUCCAUGAUAUAUUGUUCGUGCACAAGCAACAUCCUUUUCCGAUUAAUUAAUCCGUUCUUGUUAUUAAGUAUGUAUAUUUCCUGUAUCUCUUUCGAAAGAUGUACUAUAAUAAAAACGAUGGUAAUCGAAUA
rnacentral:misc_RNA from 1 species